CAUGCAAGUCGAACGAUGAAGGGGAGCUUGCUCCUUGGAUUAGUGGCGAACGGGUGAGUAACACGUGAGUAACCUGCCCUGGACUAUGGGAUAACCCCGAGAAAUCGGAGCUAAUACCGGAUAGGACCUUGGAUCGCAUGAUGCUGGGGUGGAAAGUUUUUCGGUCUGGGAUGGACUCGCGGCCUAUCAGCUUGUUGGUGAGGUAAUGGCUCACCAAGGCGUCGUCGGGUAGCCGGCUUGAGAGGGUGACCGGCCACACUGGGACUGAGACACGGCCCAGACUCCUACGGGAGGCAGCAGUGGGGAAUAUUGCACAAUGGGCGCAAGCUUGAUGCAGCAACGCCGCGUGCGGGAUGACGGCCUUCGGGUUGUAAACCGCUUUUAGUAAGGAAGAAGGGGAGCUUGCUCC
rnacentral:rRNA from 1 species